rnacentral:rRNA from 1 species
AGUCGAGCAGCAGCACGGACUUCGGUCUGGUGGCGAGUGGCGAACGGGUGAGUAAUGUAUCCCGGAACGUGCCUGAUAGCGGGGAUAACUACGCGAAAGCGUAGCUAAUACCACGCCACGCCCUUCGGGGGAAAGCGGGGACCUUCGGGCCUCGCACUAUUAGAGCGGCCGAUAUCGGAUUAGCUAGUUGGUGGGGUAACGGCUCACCAAGGCGACGUCCGUAGCUGGUUUGAGAGGACGACCAGCCACACUGGGACUGAGGCCUGGCCCAGACUCCUACGGAGGCAGCAGUGGGGAAUUUUGGACAAUGGGGGAAACCCUGAUCCAGCCAUCCCGCGUGUGCGAUGAAGGCCUUCGGGUUGUAAAAACACUUUUGGCAGGGAAAGAAGCGGCGCGGGAUAAUACCCCGUGCAACUGACGUACCUGCAGAAUAAGCACCGGCUAACUACGUGCAGCAGCCACUGACCAUGCGGGUGCAAGCGUUAAUCGGAAUUACUGGGCGUAAAGCGUGCGCAGGCGGUUCGGAAAGAAAGAUGUGAAAUCCCAGAGCUUAACUUUGGAACUGCAUUUUUAACUACCGAGCUAGAGUGUGUCAGAGGGAGGUGGAAUUCCGCGUGUAGCAGUGAGAAAUGCGUAGAUAUGCGGAGAGACACCGAUGGCGAAGGCAGCCUCCUGGGAUAACACUGACGCUCAUGCACGAAAAGCGUGGGAGCAAACAGGAUUAAGCCCUGGUAGUCCACGCCCUAAACGAUGUCAACUAGCUGUUGGGGCCUUCGGGCCUUGGUAGCGCAGCUAACGCCGUGAAGUUGACCGCCUGGGAGAGUACGGUCGCAAGAUUAAACUCAAAGGAAUUGACGGGGACCCGCACAAGCGGUGGAUGAUGUGGAUUAAUUCGAUGCAACGCGAAAACCUUACCUACUGUAUCUGACAUGUGGAAUCCCGAAGAGAUUUGGGAGUGCUCGCAAGAGAACCGGAACACAGGUGCUGCAUGGCUGUCGUCAGCUCGUGUCGUGAGAUGUUGGGUUAGUCCCGCAACGAGCGCAACCCUUGUCAUUAGUUGCUACGAAAGGGCACUCUAAUGAGACUGCCGGUGAUGACAAACCGGAGGAAGGUGGGGAUGACGUCAAGUCCUCAUGGCCCUUAUGGGUAGGGCUUCACACGUCAUACAAUGGUCGGGACAGAGGGUCGCCAGCCCGCGAGGGGGAGCCAAUCAGAAACCGAUCGUAGUCCGGAUCGCAGUCUGCAACUCGACUGCGUGAAGUCGGAAUCGCUAGUAGUCGCGGAUCAGCAUGUCGCGGUGAAUACGUUCCCGGGUGCUUGUACACACCGCCCGUCACACCAUGGGAGUGGGUUUACCGAAGUAGUUAACCUAACCGUAAGGAGGGCGAUUACAGUAGGAUUCAUGACUGGGGUGAAGUCGUAACUAAGGUAG